UGGGGAAUAUUGGACAAUGGGCGGAAGCCUGAUCCAGCAACGCCGCGUGAGGGAUGACGGCCUUCGGGUUGUAAACCUCUUUCAGCAGGGAAGAAGCGCAAGUGACGGUACCUGCAGAAGAAGCACCGGCUAACUACGUGCCAGCAGCCGCGGUAAUACGUAGGGUGCGAGCGUUGUCCGGAAUUAUUGGGCGUAAAGAGCUUGUAGGUGGUUUGUCGCGUCUGCUGUGAAAAUCCGAGGCUCAACCUCGGACUUGCAGUGGGUACGGGCAGACUAGAGUGUGGUAGGGGAGACUGGAAUUCCUGGUGUAGCGGUGGAAUGCGCAGAUAUCAGGAGGAACACCGAUGGCGAAGGCAGGUCUCUGGGCCAUUACUGACACUGAGAAGCGAAAGCAUGGGGAGCGAACA
rnacentral:rRNA from 1 species